rnacentral:rRNA from 1 species
UACGUAGGGUGCGAGCGUUGUCCGGAUUUAUUGGGCGUAAAGAGCUCGUAGGCGGUUUGUCGCGUCGGCCGUGAAAUCUCCACGCUUAACGUGGAGCGUGCGGUCGAUACGGGCAGACUUGAGUUCGGUAGGGGAGACUGGAAUUCCUGGUGUAGCGGUGAAAUGCGCAGAUAUCAGGAGGAACACCGGUGGCGAAGGCGGGUCUCUGGGCCGAUACUGACGCUGAGGCGCGAAAGCCAGGGAGGCGAACGGG